rnacentral:rRNA from 1 species
CCUACGGGUGGCAGCGGUGGGGGAUAUUGCACAAUGGGGGGAACCCUGAUGCAGCGACGCCGCGUGGGUGAAGAAGCGCCUCGGCGCGUAAAGCCCUGUCAGCAGGGAAGAAAAGGACGGUACCUGAAGAAGAAGCCCCGGCCAAUUACGUCCAAGCAGGCGCGGAUAUACGUAGGGGGCAAGCGUUAUCCGGAUUUACUGGGUGUAAAGGGGGCGCAGACGGCGAUGCAAGCCAGUAGGGAAAGCCCGGGGCCCAACCCCGGGACUGCGCUUGGAACUGCGUGGCUGGAGUGCAGGAGGGGCAGGCGGAAUGCCUGGUGUAGCGGUGAAAUGCGUAGAUAUCAGGAGGAACACCGGUGGCGAAGGCGGCCUGCUGGACUGCAACUGACGUUGAGGCCCGAAAGCGUGGGGAGCAAACAGGAUUAGAUACCCCUGUAGUC